UUAUAUGUAAAAAUCGUAGUGAAAUUUUUUGUAAUAAAGUGGGCAAGUAAGAUUGGUUCUGCUCCCAAUCGUCUACAAGUUUUAAACUUUCCUCUAUGCGCGAAUGUGUGAUGAGUCUUGGUUUCAGUUUCGGGAUAACCGGAGAAGAUGUUGAUGGGGCUUGAGCAACUGGCAGGAUGGCUCUUACAUUGUUGGAGGCAGCUCUGCGAACAACAGUGACCCAACUAUCACCACCGACGUCUAGAGACAUAAAGCCAAGGAAUCCAUCCUCGACGACAUGACAACAGUUAUCUCUCACCUCCAUCCAGAAGCAGCUCAAGAACGCCUCUUGGAUGCCUACACUAAUUCAACUUCAGUUUGGCUAAAGAACUUGAAGCGGAUCUGCAAUCCCUCUUGGAUGCUUUCAUUGAAAUCCAAGGCCAAGUAUUAACCAUCAUGUUGUAGAAUCUGUAUCAUUAAAAUUAGUAGCUGAUACUUGUUGAGACUAGAUGUUAUUUGUAGAGUGGUUCAAAUAUUUAUAGAAAUU
rnacentral:sRNA from 1 species